rnacentral:rRNA from 1 species
CCUACGGGAGGCAGCAGUGAGGAAUCUUCCACAAUGGGCGAAAGCCUGAUGGAGCAAUGCCGCGUGCAGGAUGACGGCCUUCGGGUUGUAAACUGCUUUUAUAUGGGAAGAUUAUGACGGUACCAUAUGAAUAAGGACCGGCUAACUACGUGCCAGCAGCCGCGGUAAU